GACGAACGCUGGCGGCGUGCUUAACACAUGCAAGUCGAACGGAAAGGCCCUGCUUUUGUGGGGUGCUCGAGUGGCGAACGGGUGAGUAACACGUGAGUAACCUGCCCUUGACUUUGGGAUAACUUCAGGAAACUGGGGCUAAUACCGGAUAGGAGCUCCUGCUGCAUGGUGGGGGUUGGAAAGUUUCGGCGGUUGGGGAUGGACUAGCGGCUUAUCAGCUUGUUGGUGGGGUAGUGGCUUACCAAGGCUUUGACGGGUAGCCGGCCUGAGAGGGUGACCGGCCACAUUGGGACUGAGAUACGGCCCAGACUCCUACGGGAGGCAGCAGUGGGGAAUAUUGAACAAUGGGCGGAAGCCUGAUGCAGCAACGCCGCGUGCGGGAUGACGGCCUUCGGGUUGUAAACCGCUUUCGCCUGUGACGAAGCGUGAGUGACGGUAAUGGGUAAAGAAGCACCGGCUAACUACGUG
rnacentral:rRNA from 1 species